CCCUUAGAUGUUCUGGGCAGCACGCGCGCUACAAUGGUCUUCGCAAACGGAUGCAUUCUCGAAGGAGAAUGCCAAUCUUGGAAUCUAUGCCUUGGUCGGGACAGUUGCUUGCAAUUUUUCGACUCGAACCAGGAAUUCCUUGUAAUCGUGAUUCAUCACAUCACGAUGAAUACGUCCCUGCCCUUUGUACACACCGCCCGUCGCUCCUACCGAUCGAAGAGUUAGGUGAAUUGUUUUGAUCGAUAAGCUUUGACUAUGGUCAACUCUCGUUGUGAAAUUCUGUGAAUCUGACUGUUUAGAGGAAGGAAAAGUCGUAACA
rnacentral:rRNA from 1 species